UACGGGGGGGGCAAGCGUUGUUCGGAGUUACUGGGCGUAAAGGGUGUGUAGGCGGUUCUUUUAAGUUUGGUGUGAAAUCUCCCGGCUCAACUGGGAGGGUGCGCCGAAUACUGAGGGACUAGAGUACGGGAGAGGAAAGUGGAAUUCCUGGUGUAGCGGUGAAAUGCGUAGAUAUCAGGAGGAACACCGGUGGUGUAGACGGCUUUCUGGACCGACACUGACGCUGGAGACACGAAAGCCGUGGGUAGCAAACAGG
rnacentral:rRNA from 1 species